AUUGAACGCUGGCGGCAGGCUUAAAACAUGCAAGUCGAGCGAGCGGCGGACGGGUGAGUACUGUCUGGGCAACUGCCUGAUGGAGGGGGAUAACUACUGGAAACGGUAGCUAAUACCGCAUACCAUCAGAUGUGCCCAGAUGGGAUUGGCUAGUAGGUGGGGUAAUGGCUCACCUAGGCGACGAUCCCGAGCUGGUCUGAGAGGAUGACCAGCCACAAUGGAACUGAGACACGGUCCAGAGUCCUACGGGGGGCAGCAGUGGGGAAUAGUGCACAAUGGGCGCAAGCCUGAUGCAGCCAUGCCGCGUGUGUGAAGAAGGCCUUCGGGUUGUAAAGCACUUUCAGCGGGGAGGCGUUACUCACAGAAGAAGAACCGGCUAACUCCGUGCCAGCCGCCGCGGUAAUAG
rnacentral:rRNA from 1 species